CUGCCUUUGCGUCCUUG
rnacentral:miRNA from 1 species